rnacentral:rRNA from 1 species
AGAUUGAACGCUGGCGGCAGGCCUAACACAUGCAAGUCGAGCGGUAGAGAGGUGCUUGCACCUCUUGAGAGCGGCGGACGGGUGAGUAAUGCCUAGGAAUCUGCCUAGUGGUGGGGGAUAACGC